UAUAUAUAGGGUUGGGAUCCGGUGAGAACAUGCCUUUAUAUGCGAACACAAUCUUAUAUGAGAAUAAAUCACUACCGUUGAUCUAAUAGCUGAGAUUAAUCAAAUAAACCCUCCUCCACAAAAAAAGCCCACACAUAUUUCACUCUCUAAGAUUGAAUAAUACCCAGCUUAUCUAUCUCUCCACAAGCUUUGAAGGUCCAUCAAUGGCGUCUAGUCAGAAAAUUCAAAGGCUAACAAUUUCUCUCUCCUCUUGUUCACAGGUCAAUGUAAGAGUGGAACAAAGCAAAAAUCAGUGAAGCCCUGUAUAACCAUAAUUUUUUAGGUCUAUGAUUUACUUUUCAAAUCAAUGUAUUUCCUAACAAUUUCUUUUGAAAAUUAACUUUAUCAAGUGAAACCUAUAAUGUAAUUGAAUGAUGCGUAUCUGAUUAUUUGUGUGAUGCUUGUUAUCUGGUAGCUGAAUACUUAGCUUGCAAGAUGUUGUCAAGAGUAGUAUAGUGUAAGGAUAUGUAGGAGUGGCCCAACGAGCAAGGAUCAUGAAACUAGUAUGUAGAAUUUGUGUGGGGACUUAGCAAUCUAAUGAGCUGAGGUUGAUUGAGAAUAGCAAUUGAGUUCUUUGUGCUCAUCUUCUGUAA